CUCUCUUAAGGUAGCCAAAUGCCUCG
rnacentral:ncRNA from 4 species